CAUAAACCUAAGAAAUAUUAAUUCCUAAGUUCAUAACAGAAACAUGGAAAGUGUCGUAUCUCUAUUUUUUUUAUUCUAUGUCGAAAGAGAGUUCAAAGGAUGUAAACAAAAUAUUUGCCGCCAAAUCUUCCUUUAGUGUGUUGCACAAUUAUAUUUUCUUCAAAAAAUAUCAAAAAAUCAAGUUAUAAUGGAAGGAUUUGAUGACCCAGGAAUAUUCUUUUCCGAUAACUUCUCUGUAGGUGAAUCUAAUGAGACGCGAACUAAUUUUCAACAUUCGAAGAAGAAGUUUAUGGAAUUUAUUAGACAAUUCCACGAGGGAAACUUUAACUACAAAUAUAGAGAUAUUUUAAAACGUAAUUAUAAUUUGGGUCAAUAUUGGGUAGAAAUUAAUUUAGAAGAUCUGGCAGCUUUUGAUGAAUCACUCGCAGAAAAAGUUUACAAGCAUCCAACUGAAUAUUUACCUAUCUUGGAAGAAGCUGCAAAAGAUUUAGCGGAUGAACUUACAGCUCCAAGACCACCAGAUGAAGAAAAAGUUGAAGACAUACAAAUUUUAUUAUCUUCAGAUGCACAUCCAAGUUCUUUAAGAGGAAUCAAACCUGAUGCAGUUUCUAAACUUAUUAAAAUACCUGGUAUUAUUGUUUCUGCAUCUGGAAUUAGGGCAAAAGCGACAAAAAUUGCUAUACAAUGUCGUUCUUGUAGAAGCAUGCAAACUAAUAUUUCAAUUAAACCUGGUUUAGAAGGAUACGUUUUACCUAGGAAAUGUACAACAGAACAAGCAGGAAGGCCAAAAUGCCCUCUGGAUCCAUUUUUUAUAAUGCCAGAUAAAUGUCAUUGUGUUGAUUUUCAAGUUCUGAAACUGCAAGAAUUGCCAGAUCAAAUUCCACAGGGUGAAAUGCCAAGACAUUUACAAUUGUAUUGCGAUCGCUAUUUAUGUGAUAGAAUUGUACCAGGCAAUAGAGUUCUCAUUUUGGGCAUAUAUUCAAUUAAGAAAGUUACUAAAACUACUGGUAAUAGAGGAAGAGAUAAAGCAUUAAUUGGUGUUCGAGCGCCAUAUAUGAGGGUUAUUGGUAUUUCUACAGAUGGAGAAAAUACAGGCAGUGGUAUUCAUUCAUGCUUUACAAAUGAAGAAGAAGAUUUAUUUAGACGUCUUGCUUCAGACACUAAUUUAUAUGAAAGAAUUGCAAGAAGUAUAGCUCCCAGCAUUUUUGGUGCAUUGGAUAUUAAAAAAGCUAUAGCUUGCCUACUGUUUGGUGGUUCUAGAAAAAGAAUGCCUGAUGGACUUUGUAGGAGAGGAGACAUUAAUAUUUUAAUGUUAGGUGAUCCUGGUACAGCUAAAUCACAGUUAUUAAAAUUUGUAGAGAGAGUUGCACCAAUUGCAAUUUACACAUCUGGCAAAGGAAGUUCAGCAGCUGGUUUAACAGCAUCAGUCUUAAGAGAUCCAGUAACAAGGAAUUUUGUCAUGGAAGGAGGUGCUAUGGUUCUUGCAGAUGGUGGUGUUGUUUGCAUAGAUGAAUUUGAUAAAAUGAAAGAGGAUGAUAGAGUUGCAAUACAUGAAGCUAUGGAACAACAAACAAUAUCCAUUGCAAAAGCAGGAAUAACUACAACAUUAAAUACUCGUUGUUCCGUUCUAGCAGCGGCAAAUUCGAUAUUUGGUCGUUGGGAUGAGAUAAAAGGAGAAGAAAAUAUUGAUUUUAUGCCAACAAUUUUAUCGCGUUUCGACAUGAUAUUUAUUGUUAAAGAUGAACACGAGCAAAAUAAAGAUGUAACACUAGCAAAACAUGUAAUGAAUAUCCAUACCAAUGCUGGUCAAGUUACAGAACAAUUGGCAGAAGGAGAACUACCACUGCACAUUUUAAAAAAAUAUAUCCACUAUUGUAGAACUCGUUGUGGUCCAAGACUUAGUAAAGAGGCGGGAGAGAAAUUAAAACAUCGUUAUGUUGUAAUGCGAGCUAGUACCAGAGAACAUGAGAAAGAUAUGGAAAAGAGAUUAUCUAUUCCCAUAACAGUUCGUCAAUUGGAAGCUGUUAUAAGAAUUUCAGAAUCUUUAGCUAAAAUGCAAUUACAACCUUUCGCUACACAAAUCCACGUGAACGAAGCGCUUAGACUUUUCCAAGUAUCUACUUUAGAUGCUGCAAUGUCAGGAUCUUUAGCUGGUAAUCUAUAAUGAAGUAACUGGUAGUAUGCAUUUCUUAAUAUUGUACUUCAUUUUAAACACAUGUCAAAAUUUAGGUGCAGAAGGAUUUACCUCGGAUGAAGAUCAUGAAAUGUUAUCACGUAUCGAAAAACAAUUGAAACGUAGAUUUCCUAUUGGAAAUCAAGUGUCAGAGCAAAAUAUUGUUAAAGAUUUUGUAAAACAAGCAUAUCCAGAACGUGCUAUUUACAAAGUUAUACACACAAUGAUACGACGUGGAGAACUUCAGCAUCGUAUGCAACGUAAAAUGUUGUACAGAUUACACUGAAAUGACUGUAAUUCAUCCUUGAAUGGAUAAUGUGGAUGAUUCUCGACCCUAAAAGAAAUCAAAGGGAUUUUAUAUCUUUACAUUAUUUGGAAUGAAAUAUCUUUAAUAAAUAUAUUUACCCCUUAAAAAACAAGAAAUUAAAAAUUCUUCCACGUACACCUUUGUCUAAGGUACUCAAAAUUUUCAUUUCUUCUUCAUUUAAUGAAAAACUAAAUAAAUCAAUAUUUGCCUUAACUCUCUCGGGAGAUUUACUUUUUGGAAUUACAACAACAUUUAAUUGUAAUGAGUAACGUAGUAAAACUUGUGCUGGUGAUCGUUUAUGUUCUGCGCUUAUUUUUUGUACUAUUGGAUGUCCCAGAACAUCUGGAAAGUCUUCAACAUUAUGAUUAUAUUUCGUUUGAAAAUGCGUUUUAGCUCCUGGUGAUCCCAAGGGGCUGUAGGCUGUUAUAAUGAUAUUGUGCGUUUGACACAAUUGCCGUAGCGAAUUUUGUUGCAGAUAUGCAUGUAAUUCCACCUAAUAAUAAUUAAA